rnacentral:rRNA from 1 species
UCGAGUGGCGAACGGGUGAGUAACACGUGGGUGAUCUGCCCUGUACUUUGGGAUAAGCCUGGGAAACUGGGUCUAAUACCGAAUAUGACCACUUCUUGGAUGGGGUGGUGGAAAGCUUUUGCGGUAUGGGAUGAGCUCGCGGCCUAUCAGCUUGUUGGUGGGGUAAUGGCCUACCAAGGCGUCGACGGGUAGCCGGCCUGAGAGGGUGUACGGCCACAUUGGGACUGAGAUACGGCCCAGACUCCUACGGGAGGCAGCAGUGGGGAAUAUUGCACAAUGGGCGCAAGCCUGAUGCAGCGACGCCGCGUGGGGGAUGACGGCCUUCGGGUUGUAAACUCCUUUCGCAACCGACGAAGCUUUUGUGACGGUAGGUUGAGAAGAAGCACCGGCUAACUACGUGCCAGCAGCCGCGGUAAUACGUAGGGUGCGAGCGUUGUCCGGAAUUACUGGGCGUAAAGAGCUCGUAGGUGGUUUGUCGCGUCGUUUGUGGAAUACCGCAGCUUAACUGCGGGGUUGCAGGCGAUACGGGCAUAACUUGAGUGCUGUAGGGGAGACUGGAAUUCCUGGUGUAGCGGUGGAAUGCGCAGAUAUCAGGAGGAACACCGAUGGCGAAGGCAGG